rnacentral:rRNA from 1 species
AUGAAUCAGCAACCAGCCCCAGUGACUCUGCAAAACUUUGCGCGUCUCAAUCCUGCCAUCUACCGCAGCUUAGCUCAGCCCCUUGAUGUUGAUGACUGGCUCCUUGACAUCACUUUCGAGUGGGAGUCUACUGAUGUAGCCCCUACCAACUAUGUCACCUUCGCGACUUAUUACCUGAAAGGUCCCUCUGCUCAAUGGUGGGACAGCCACAGGCGUUUCUUACCUCUUGGAUCCGCCAUCACUUGGCCGAAAUUCCAAGCUGCUUUUCGCGGGCUAAUGUUGGACCACCAUGGUAAGUGA